GGAGCUGGUGGUAACUCUAGCAGGCCUAGCAGACCUUAUCUCUCCCUCGGUGGAGUUCGUUGGUCUGUCUCUGAACUGCUCUAAGAGAGUUGUUUAGAUCCUGUGCUCAAAUCACGGGUUUGAGAAACUACAGGUUUCUGAAGCAUCCUAUUUCAGAAACUGUUUCUUGUAUUUUGAGGCGUGUGUGCACGCACGUGUUUUAAAAUAAUUGUCGUUAAUUCAGUGCUAGACGGCUUGAUUCAGUGUGAAAGAUGUUAGACGUGAAUACGAAGAUUAUCAUUGCCGUUUUUAGCGGUAUGGUGUCUGGUGCAAUUAUACUGUUAAUCACUGCCUAUUUUCUUGUCUUGAUGGCAGUCAAGGAAGUCAAAUUCGCAAAUUGCGGAGAUGUCGAAAGCUGUAUUAAUUCUCGUAAGUUCACUCAAGAAAAGAUCAUCCGGGUCAAACCCAUUACUGCGGAGUCUUCUUGUAUUCUCCAGGGCUAUGAUGAGUAAAGCAUCUAUACAGAUUCUGGCACCCUGCCAACUUGUUUUUGUGACACCACCAAAGAACUCUGACAUGGCUGGGGAGGAGCCCCAAUCUUCACAAUCAGUAUUUCUUUUUUAGUAGAAUAGUUUAUUUUCAAAUUAAUUUCUGUUAUGUUUAUACUCUUAUUUACUCCCUAAAUGGUUUUUAUGUUCUUUGUAUAACGCACAAUAAUAAAAAUAAUCUUUUACCUUCA